rnacentral:lncRNA from 1 species
UUAUAUCAUUUUCUUUGAAUAGAGAGGAGAGAGAGAAGUGGUUGGGAAUGACAAUAUUGUCCUUUAGGAUAUUAUAAUAACAGAGACGCGAUCACAACAUAUUACACAACUAAUAAAGUUUGAUUUGCACAACUACACAUAAGGCAUGUCACAUCCAAUUCCUUAAUUAUCAACAUGCAUCAAAACUUAACCAAACCAUGAUUGGGGAACUAUUAAGUCCCUACUUGCUUGGAGCCCAUCUCUCUUGAUCUCAUCCCAUACUCUCAUGCUCUCAUCCAUCUCCCUCUCUCGUUCAUAAUAUCCAAGUGAUGUCUCCUUAUAUCCUCUCUCGAAUCAAACAUUAUCACCCUUUCUCUCGCUCUCCGUUUCCUAGCCUAGGCAUGCCCCCUUUGUCAAUAUCUUGAUGGGCUUGGAGUAGUAACGAGCAAGGACAAUAGUAAAUUGGUGGGCCGAUGCCCAUGGUAGUCCAAUCGGAACGAUGGAGUGUUGAAGAGCAUGCUAGUAUCUAUGGUGGUGGGAUGGAGUGAACCAAAGGUGGUGAUGGUAGGACGAUCUAAAUCCAACGGUUAGGAGGAUAUGACCACUAGACCAACUAACACAUCUUAUUCCUCAUCCUCUCAAGUAUGGUGUGUGUAAUCAGAAAAGAGGGGAGACACUGACGAGAGCUAUUUUGAUGGUCUUGGCCCAUGUGGCUAGACAAUCCUUGAGCUAUAACCGAAAGUCACCACCGAUAAGUGUGAAUCAUAGUCAAGGUUGGUAUCCCAACAUCGAUCCCCAACCUCUUGCCUCUCCUUCUCUUGGGCAUUUUUGUGUACUUUUUCUUCCUAAAUUCCACCAUCAUUUGGAUCUAGUUGUAAGGGCAAUAACAUUGGCGAACAAGGUGACGGCCAUCAACAACAAUAAUGUGCAGUGCUUUAUUUUGGGUUGUAGAAUCGGUAGUGGUACUUAGUAAUUUGUUGGAACCAGGAACUUCUGCUCUCUCUCACUCGCGACAGCAACCCAAGGAAGAAGAUGAACGGUAGCUAUAAAACAAGAUUUCAGCGACGAACGCCAUGGGGACUACCUCACCCUUAUCUUGGCUUUUAUUACU